rnacentral:rRNA from 1 species
UACGGGGGGGGCAAGCGUUGUUCGGAAUUACUGGGCGUAAAGGGCUCGUAGGCGGCCAACUAAGUCAGACGUGAAAUCCCUCGGCUUAACCGGGGAACUGCGUCUGAUACUGGAUGGCUAGAGGUUGGGAGAGGGAUGCGGAAUUCCAGGUGUAGCGGUGAAAUGCGUAGAUAUCUGGAGGAACACCGGUGGCGAAGGCGGCAUCCUGGACCGGCAUUGACGCUGAGUGAGCGAAAGCCAGGGGAGCAAACGGG